rnacentral:rRNA from 1 species
GAUGAACGCUGGCGGCGUGCUUAAUACAUGCAAGUCGAACGAAAAGACGCGGAGCUUGCUCCUCUGACGAUAGCGGAGGACGGGUGAGUCACACGUGGAUAACCUCCCUAUCAGACUGGGAACACUACGGAAAACCGGCGAAAAUACCGGAUAAUAUCUUGAACCGCAUGGUUCAAUAGUGAAAGACGGUUUUGCUGUCACUUAUAGAUGGAUCCGAGCCGUAUUAGCUGGUAGGUAAGGUCACGGCUUAUCAAGGCAACGAUGCGUAUCCGACCGGCGAGAGGGGUCGCCCACACUGGAACUUGGACGGCGUCCAGACGCCUACGGUAGGCAGCAGUAGGGAAUCUGCCGCAAUGGUCGAAAGCCUGACGGAGCAACGCCGCGUGAGUGAUGAAGGUCUUCGGAUCGUAAAACUCGGUUAUGAGUUAAGAACAAAUGUGUAAUUAACUAUGCACGUCUUGACGGUACCGAAUCAGAAAGCCACGGCUAACUACGUG